UACAGAGGUCUCAAGCGUUGUUCGGAUUCAUUGGGCGUAAAGGGUGCGUAGGUGGCGCCGUAAGUCGGGUGUGAAAUUUCGGAGCUUAACUCCGAAACUGCAUUCGAUACUGCGGUGCUUGAGGACUGGAGAGGAGACUGGAAUUUACGGUGUAGCAGUGAAAUGCGUAGAUAUCGUAAGGAAGACCAGUGGCGAAGGCGGGUCUCUGGACAGUUCCUGACACUGAGACACGAAGGCCAGGGGAGCAAACGGG
rnacentral:rRNA from 1 species